rnacentral:rRNA from 1 species
GACAAACGCUGGCGGCGUGCUUUAUACAUGCAAGUCGAACGAGGAAAGCUCUUCGGAGUGAGUAUGAGUGGCGCACGGGUGAGUAACAUGUGGAUAAUCUACCUUUUAGUGGGGGAUAACUCGGGGAAACUCGGGCUAAUACCUCAUAAGACCACGGCAUCUGCGGAUGCAGGGGUUAAAGAUUUAUCGCUAAAAGAUGAGUCCGCAUCCGAUUAGCUUGUUGGUGGGGUAAAGGCCUACCAAGGCUAUGAUCGGUAGCUGGUCUGAGAGGAUGACCAGCCACACUGGGA